GCCCUCUUCCAAAAAAGCACCGGUCUGCAGAUGUCUGCGAGAGAAUCAACAAACCCUCCUUCUUCUACGGCAGGGCAGGUGUGUCACAGCAAGGAAGUUCGUCCACUGAAGUGCUGGAACGGAAAACCAGAAUCUCACAAGUGAGAACUAUUUAUGCUCUUCACCAAACUGUAAAGAAUCAGCCAUGAUUACGCAAGCCUUUCCUGCAAGGUUUUGGCAGCUCUAAACAUCCUCAACAAAGAAACAUUGGAGACAGCUCGAAAGUGGAGACCAAAGUCAUGGCUGCUGGUGAGGUGCUGCAAAGUAAUAGCAAGGCCAACAUUCAGACAUGGCUGGUAAAAGCUGAGGAUGCUGAGAUGUCUCCGCAGUGUGCGUGUAAGCAUGUCCUAGUACGAGGUGAAGUAUACCUCAGAACAUGUCUUGCCUUUUUGGUCCCAGAAUUGUGAGGAAAAUGAAGUAUCUGCUGUUGGCAAAUGAGUGUACAACAGUCUUGAAAAAAUACUGGGAGGUGGUGAUUUUUUACCGUGGAAAGGAAAAGUGUCUUCAGAAUACAUAAAAUAUGAUGAAUUAGCAUAACAUUGUCAUCGAAGAUAAAGUGUUACAAUAUUUUAUAUUUUUUCAUUGUUAUUCCAUAAACAUACAACAAUAGCAGGUUAAUGUAUCAAAUGUAUACAUGAAGUCUUACCACUGUACAUAACUGUUCCAUAUAUUACUGUUAUAUCUUCUGAGAUUAAGUAAACACAGAAUGUAAUGUACUCUACAUAAAUAUAGCACUACUGAAUCAUAAUAAAAAUUUAAAAAUAUCUAUUUACCAUGAGAACUGUGUCAGAAUCUCUCAGUGAAAAUGUUGGUUAGCUGAAAUGGGAAGGUUUUCUUCUUUUU